UGCUCAAGUGAGUAUGCCCUUACCGCCCUAAAGUCUUUUUCGAGUCUGCCUCCUCCGUUUUCUCAUCGGACAUUGAGACGACGUCGUCUUUCCCCUUUUCGUUUCGAUUUGCCGUGGAGUGGAAGCCAAGAAGGGGAGGAGUUAAGAGGAGACGAUGGAGUUCUACGUCGAGCUCUUCUUGACCGCUCUCAUCUCCGUCCUCAUCGCCUUCCUCAUCGGCAAGAUCGCCGCCGCCGACGACAACGUCGACGACGAAGAUCUAGCCGCCGACAAGCCGGCCCCGCCCCCUCUUUCCGCCGAUUCAGGCCCUCGGCGGAUGGAAUCCACCGCCGCCGCCGCCGCCGCCAUCGCCGAUCUUGGGAUGGGUUUGGGUGCUGCCCAGGAGGAGGAGACGGGGAAGUCGUCCGGUGAUGCUUGUGCAAGCGGCGUUGUCGAAGAUCAAAGACUGGACGAGGAGAUACUGGAUAGUGGCAAGGCGGCUAGUGGGUUUGACCUACAGAAACAAGAUACUAUUCUUGGAGUGGAUGAAUCCUCGUCCAAGAAAGAGGGCUCUAAAGUGGGGAUCGGAAUAAUUAGUGGCGAUUUGGACGAGGUUGAACCAAAUGUGGGAAAAGAGGUGCGGAAAGUUGUGGAGAUGGGUGGAGAAGAUACCUUACAAAGGGGCGACGCAAGGGCGGUGAGUGAGGAGAGGGGUGGAUCGUUGCUACAGGGGGAGGACGAGUGGGAGGGAAUCGAGAGGAGCGAAUUGGAGAAGUUAUUCGGAGUUGCCACUGAGUUUGUGGGUAGCGAGAAAGGUGGGGAUGCCGUGUCAAAACUGAGCAGUGAGUUACAAAUGCAGUUGUAUGGGCUUCAUAGGGUUGCAACCGAGGGGUCAUGCUACGAGCCACAGCCCAUGGCUUUGAAGGUUACUGCUCGUGCGAAAUGGCAUGCUUGGCAGAGUCUGGGGAACAUGAAUCCAGAUGCUGCCAUGGAAAAGUAUAUCAGUCUUCUUACUAAGAGUAUUCCUGGAUGGAUGGGAGAAAAAUCUGGUGAGGAAGCCAGAGGUCAUGAUGACAAUGAUCCUUCAGUAGUGCAGGUUUCUGGAAUAGGCCAACACCAUUUAAAGACAUCUUCUUACUGUAAUCCUGAAACUGAAAGUGGAAUAAUGUGAUGACUUCUUGUUCCAUUUGAGGUGUCACGGACACUGUAUAUGCUGGUCCCAUACUUUUCAAGCAAGGUCUGCCUAGAGUUACUUAUUUAGAAAAGAAAGAAAAACAAGUCAUUUUAGGAAAGAAAAAAGGAAAAACACUUGGACCGCUAAUGCUUUUUCUCCAACUUGGCUAUGCUGUGGAGGUAUCAUCAGAACAAACAAUAAAUGUUUAUACUGAUCUCCUCUUGGAAUCCAUUCUUUUGUUGUGGGUGUCAUGUUAUAAGUGCAUGUUAACUCAGCAGCUAGGACUUCAUAAGUUGUUAACUACGAGAAAAGAGGUUGAAAUAGCUAACAGGUAGGAUAUUACACUGAUUCUUCUCAAUAUGAUGGUACUUGUUGCUUCAAUGGAGUCACACAACAUUGUGCAGUUUGCUUUGUCUCAAAAGUCAAAUUUCUUUAGGCUAGUAUUAUGGAUUCUUCUUUUCUGGCUUUAGUAUAUAUUUGUACUUUGAUUGUUUGUUUUUUAAUAGUCAUUUCAAAAUUUGACUAGUUUAGUAGCAAUGACUAGGAAUCUCAAACUUCGGCAAGUAUCCUUUGUGGGUCUCACCAAAAUAUUCAAUAGAAACCAUCUGUGCCUUUUGCUGUUUAAAGUCAACUUUUCCUUAUUUUCCUCCAAUGUAAUCAGUCUGCUUGUUUCAUUUUGUUAUCCACAGUUCUUUUUUUAUGGUAUGUUUGUUAAAGUCAAAGACUUGUGUUUCUUUGCGAGAGCUGCUGCUUGUCUACCAUGUAUAUUUGUAAUGGUUCUUCCUUUCUUGUCCUAUACUAAAAUAGAUCCAACCAUAUAAAUGAGUCUUCGAAUGUUUUCCAACCAAUGGUCUUUAGAUUUUUAAGACCACAGGAACGUUUUUAGAUAACUUCCUUCAAUAUAAAUUUUAUUGCAGAACACUUCCUUCUCAAUGCACAUUCUGGUUAGACUCGAGAAAAGCCUGUAUAAGUAAAAAAGUGCACUCCUGCCAUUGGCAUCCAUGGAUCACCCUCUGAUCAAACUUACGCUGACUGCCAAUUGACAGUUUCAGCUAUUCUUUUGCUUGACUUCACCUGCAAAUGCAAUUGCUAUGUCCAUCUAUGCUUUCCAAUCUCUAGCAUCAUAUGUCCCAUGUUUUUCAGUCAUCUUUACCACUGGAUGAAUCCUUGCUUGAGACCUCUUUCAAGUCUUAACCACUACCUGGAAGGUUUAUUUCUAGUUUUUAGUCUCCUCGCAUGUUGCAGUGGUGUGAGUUGAUGGUUUUAGAAAGAUGAGGCUCUCAACAUGAAUUGAGCUUUUCAUUAUACAAGAAUUGGAACUGUCUUCCAGGGGAACCCAUCGAGUCACAAAUUUUUGUUCUCAGACAAUUGCUACCGACAAGCUCUAUUUACACUAUCUUCUAUCUAAUGAGCCAAUCAGAUCCUCUACGUAGACUAUCAGAAGGCACACAAAUAUUAUCAAGUUAACUACCAUAUCUGGAUACUGAGCAAGAUUUUCUAAUUUAUUUUUUUAUUGCUGUGGCGUACUCUUCAUAAUACAGCAAUGUGUACAGUUUUCAAUGAUUGAUAAACUCCUUUAAUUAUAUCGUAAAAGCCAACAUAUUAAUUACUCCAUUAUCAAAAUAAUCUGAACAGAAACUCACUAAACUAAAUUUAAAUAAUAAUGAAACUGAAAUCUAGAGCCUAAUACCAUCUGUUCUACACCAGUUUAUAGCAUGUGCUAUAUGUACCUUUUAGGUUCAUCACUUGUAUGUAUGAAAUCCUUUCUUUUUGUUGUUAUAAGCCAUAAGCUAUUUCAUGAAAUGUUAGGCAUGCUAAACAAUUUUGACCACUCUAACCCUGCUAGAUGCGAGGAACAACUCAUAUGAAGCAUAAGCAUCGAAACAUCUUGUAUGUUUUUUCCUUGCUUCUGACAUUGUUUCCUGUAUUUGUAAGGUAAUUUGAACAAGUAAAAGGUUUUCCAUUUCAUGAAAUUCCUGAUCUACUAUGCAAUUCAUACUGUUGGGUUUUUUAUUGGGUUGUUAUUAAUUUCCUGAGGUAGGAAAGCAUUUAAAAUUUGAUCUGCUUGGCCAUGUUGUUUGUUACUCGUUUAUAGUUUGGAAGUAAAGGAGAGACUGAGAUGGGUGGUGAGAGCCACUCGGAGAGGUGGCAGUCAGUCCCUUGUAUUGUGUAUGAGGAUACCUUAUUUGAUGUGCAUAUAUGUCCCACCUCUUUCUGUCUGGGCUCUAUAUGGAUCUUGGAUCCCGUACAUCAGUGUCAAGUUGCAUAUAUGUAAUUAUCCUUUCUCAUAACUAUUUUGUGAUAGUCUCUUGAGAAAAAUAAUUUCCCCCAUCUUCUAUCACCUGUUCUGUUGCCCUAUCUAUUUGGUGUCUUUUAUAGCUUUUGCGUGGUGGUGUAAAGUUAAAAAACAUCUCAAACAUUAGAAGUCAAUCUAUGGUAUUUGGUAAUAUCUUUAUGGUUCA